UUUAAGAAAUAACAGAGAUUAGAUAACUUACACGAUUUGAGAAAAUUUUCCUUGGAGCAGCUCCACAUUUCAAAACCUAAAAAAAAAACAGAUUGGAAGUUUUGUGACUUUUACUAAAAAAUUGAAAGCUUUUUGGUUAAAAAAAAAAAAAAAAGAUUGGAAAAGUUUAGGAUUUCUAACCUUGAAUAGAAUGAGAAAGAAUCUCAUGAGGAAACUUUUCGGUCGAAUGAAAGAUAUGAAAGAAUAUAAAUGAGUAUUUUCUUGAGAAAAUGUUAGAAGAAAGUUUAAUGGAGAGUAAAAAAUGUCGAAGAAAUGCCAAGUAACCUCAUUGAAGAAGAAGACAAAAACGAAAAAAAAAAUGUUUUGGUGUACUUUUCAUAUGAGACAGAGAUGAGCCUGUCUUCUUGCAGAACUGGAGGUGGUGCAUUUGUCAUCUUCAAGCUCUGGGAGAUACUGUUGGCUCCAACAACACCCACUUCCUUCCACUCCACUUUUCUCUCUGCUUUAACACACACUUCCAUUUCCGUCAGGACACUUCCAAGGAAUGUUUUGAAAACUCUCUUGAUAGACAUUUGAAAGAAUUGUGAUUUGAAGACUUAGCAAUGUAUUUAAAGAGAG
rnacentral:lncRNA from 1 species